CUCAGCAAUGUUGGUGAAGGAAUCGAUGGCAGCAUAGCCCUUUGCGUAGAUUUCCUUGCCGACGAUAUUGUAGAUGGCGCGAACUGGAGCAAGCACGGCCUGGUAUGCGUAUGGCAGGUACUCGGUUGCGCCGACAGCAUCAAAUAUGGAGUCCAAGAACCACUCGCUGUGAGUCGAUGCUAGAACAUUGUUCACCAUGAUGCUGCCGGAGAGAGUGAGCGGGUUGUAGAGGCCUACCUUCUCAACCUUUUGUAUUUCUGGAAAAGUAGCACAGAAUCGUUAAAUUCGAAACAUCCCACCAAUAUAUAUGCUUUUUGCUUUCCUUACCAAUGAUUUGAGAUGAUUCCCACAGGGAAUCUCCAACCUUGAGGUCCUCGGCUCUCUUGUACACGAGCUUCCCAUUGACAGCAACGGGAACAAAGUGGCCUGCAGUGAGUUCCAACAUGUUUGAAGCGCUGUGCACUUGGAAAAACUUGGACAUGGCAUCAGCAUCCUUGUGGCCGAAGGCAUACACAUCUGAAUAGAUAUUCUUCCCCACUGCAACCUGUGGAAAAGUUAUACUUGGACAAGAUUUAUGUGAAAGUAUUCAACCUUGUCUCCAACAUUAAGCUCCCUCACGAACUUAAUUUCUCCAUUAUACAUCUGAACAGUUGCAUCUCCUAUAAUAGCUUGAAAAUUGUAUGAAAGAAAAAAACGUGAAUUCAUAUGAACCCUACCUGGGAAGCAUCCUGGAGUGGCUGGAGUGGCUGGAGGGGGUGGAGUGCCUGGAGGAGGAGUGGCUGGAGGGGGUGGAGUGCCUGGAGGGGGUCUAGUGCCUGGAGGAGGAGUGGCUGGAGGAGGAGUGGCUGGAGGAGGAGGAGUUGGAGUUUGUGCCACUGCAACGCUUGCAGCGAAGGCAAUGAAAGAAGUCAGGAAGAUUAGAGCACUGGUAUGAGCCAUUUCAAAACUGCUGGUCGCUAACACUCUAGGAGCAACCCAUUUUAUAGCAGAAUGUAAGCAUCUAAUGUUUGGUUUCGUGCACCAAAAAUUCAAACACAGGGGACAUGUAACUAGUGAAUGGUGGUCCUAAUUAAAAAUAUUGAAUCCUUCUUAUUUUGGUGAGAACCUAAAUACCAUCCAUGGAGAAACUAAAGAGGAAAGUGUUUUUAUUAAAAUAAAUUUGUGAGGGCCAAGUGUACAGCUAUAAUAUCAUAUAUUAAUAUUAGCAUAGUGGGAUUUUAGUAGCUGUUAAAUUGGUUUCAAUCAAGAUUACUCGUUCUUGUAUAUAAAUUAGGGUUUUUGGGCUAAUUUAUAUGCACAUUUCUAUAUUCCCUUUCUAUAUUCCAAACAUUCACAUUGGUGGAGAUGAGGGGCACUUUUAAUUGUCCCUAAGGAGUGUUUGGAUUUAGAAUUUUGGUUUAGAUUUAUCUUUUGCAUCGUCUAGAUCUAGGUUUUUCCAUUUCCUUUCUUUUGUUCUUUCCUUUUAGGAUUUUGGUUUGGAUAGCUUUUUGCAUUGUCUAGAUCUACCAUUUCUUUCUAGCUUUUUGUCAUUUCUCUUUUUUUGCUCUUUCUUUUUCAUUCGUCUUCAUGGCAAAUCAGUAAUCUCCUCCUUUAACUCUAGAGUAGUAGUUGGUACAAUUGCUUGAUGCUAUGCACUUGCAAUUGAACAAUUAAACUCAAUUGAUGGUGGCAUUCACGGCACGUGGUCCAACUCUUCUUGCUCUUCGUGCCAAUCCUCACGUUCUGCUAAAGUUCUUUCAUGGGAAUCCUAGGGAUGAUGUGUACCAUUGGUUCAAUCACUUCACAGUGAUUGCCACAUAUCAUUUUUGGGAUGAUGCUCGAUGUUUAUGUGAGUUUCCCACAUGUCUCCAAGGGACGGCAUUGUAAUGGUACAAUGGUUUGAGUGCAACCACUCGUGGAGAUUAGAGUGUUCUCCUAGAUGUCUUUAAACGCGCCUUCGGACAUGCCGAUGACUAUGAUGAUGCCUUUCAACAAUUGCAUCGUCUUCGCCAAGGGCCAUCUGAGAUAGUGAUGCAAUUUGGCAUUCAUUUCCGAAGUCUUUUGCUUUGUGCGGAUCCAAAUAUGUCGGAGCGGAUCAAACUAGGAAUGUUGUGGCUAGCACUUCGUCAAGAUCUUGUCGGACUUGUGCAUGCACUUGCUCCUGCCACCCUUGACAAUGCUCUUCGCUUGGCACAACGUUAUAAGACGUCACCUCUUCCACUUCUCGCUGCACGUCCUUUAGCUCCACUUCCUAUAGAUGGUGGUCCUGUUUCAAUGUGUAAGCUCCUGAGUUUAGACUUCUCGGGAGGUCACCCAAUCUAGUACUAUUCAAACCCAAGGACACUUAACCCCAAAUAUCCUAAGACUCUUAACCAAUUGGAAAAGGGGGUGCACUCUUAUUCAUAGGCCCUUUCCCUCUAUAUUUGAACCCUAUAGACCAUCUCUCAAGUCGUUCUCUUUGGUUGCUUACAAUCCACCACGCUUCCCUACAAGUUCACGCCCUCGUGAAUGGAAGUUGAGAGCCGCAGCUCUCUCUCGAGCCCUGCUCUCUUGACACCCUACCCCUCGGGUCGAGCCCAGCGGGAGCAAACUGGACCAGCCAGAUGUCAAUCAAUGUCAAUCAACAUGUGGUGCAAUUCCCUUAGCCAACCAACAGAGUCAGACCCGAGACCGUUCUGAUACCAAAUGUAAGCUCUUGAGUUUGGACUUCUCGGGAGGUCACCCAACCCAGUACUAUUCAAACCCAAGGACACUUAACCCCAGAUAUCCCAAGACCCUUAACCGAUUGGAAAAGGGGGUGCACUCUUAUUCAUGGGCCCUUUCCCUCUAUAUUUAAACCCCAUGGACCGUCUUUAAGGUCGUUCUCUUUAGUUGCUUACACAAUGGAGGUUGAUGCUGUUGCUGCUUGAGUCCAAGGACAAGGGCGAGGAAGUGGUCGUGGCCGUGAUGUUCGCUGUUGGGCAUGUGAUGAAGUUGAUCAUACUUAUUGGCAUUAUCGGCGUUUUCCGGAUUGGCGACCUCCAUUUCCUAGGUGGAGACUUUGGCAUUAGCAACGUCCCGUUGGUGCUGCUGCAGUGGACAGUUUGAACACUGCGAUACAUCUAGGAAAUGAGGAGUCGCAUGAGUAACGGAGGGACCUUAUGCGAAUAAGUUAGUGACCCCUCCAUCUUUCUUUCGGAAGUAUCAUCAAGGGGUUCACUCGGCACUGGUUCAUUCAGUGUUUACUUUCCAAGCUCAUUUUUAUAACAAGAGGUCUGCUAUUAUUCUCUCCGUGUUGGUUGAUAUAGGUUCGAGUUUAUCUUCUAUUGCUCGACCUGUUGCCACAAGUUGUCAUCUACACUUGCGUCAUGUGGCAGAUCCGAUUUUCAUUCUUUAUGGCAACGGCCGUACACAUGCAUGUGCAUAAGAUGAGGUGGACCUGGUUGUGCAUGUAGGCGAUCUCGAGCUUGAGUUGUAGUCGUUGCAGGUGGUGCCGAGUCAAGCUUUUGACCUCAUUCUUGGUAUAGAUUGGUUGCAGCACAAUCAUACCAAGUGUGAUUUUGAGGCUUCUCCUCUUUGUCUCAUACUUUCUUAUGUUUCAUCCAUUCCUCUCACUUCCGUACCUUUUCGUCCCUUUACUUCUACCUCUGCUUCCAUUACUUUUGUUUCCCCACUAUUUCCUCCUAUGUUUCCAUCUUAUUCUACUCUUCCCUUUUCCGAUCCCUCCGACGAUAUUUGUGUUGUAGCGGUGGACUGACUCAUGAAGGAGUAUUCUGAUCUCUUUGAAUUUGACUUAUCAUCUGGGGCCAAGAUUGCCACACGUCAUCCAAUUCCAACCAAGGAUGCUUGUCCAAUCAAGGUUCCCGUUCGUCUUCAGUCACUCCGCGACUUUUGAAUAACACCCUUCUCCAACAUCUCUUGGAUAUUUGCCCGUAAAAUCUUGAUCUCCUUGGGUCCUUGGGCAUUUGAACCUCAUCUUGUGACAAAGCCUGAUGGGAGUAUUCAUUUCUGUAUCGACUAUUGUCCGUUAAACUAAGUGACGAUCCCAGAUGUAUACCCUAUUCCUCACACUGCUAAUCUCUUGGAUCGUCUGGGGCGAAGUCGCUGGUUCACCAAGCUCGAUUUUGCUUCUGGGUACUGGCAAGUACCAAUGGCCGAAGUAGAUAUUCCUAAGACUGCUUUUCAUACACCAUUUGGUUUGUAUGACUUCUUGGUGAUGUUGUUUGGUUUGAACAAUACUCUAACAACUUUCUAGCGGAUGAUGUAUGAGGUUCUUUGCGAUAUGCCAAAGGUGACUACUGAAUUCAUUGAUGAUGUCUUGAUCCACUCGGAGGGGACGUGGGAGGACCACAUUUAUGAUGUUUGUAAAGUGUUGGAUCAGCUACGCGAUGUUGGUUUAAAGCUGAAGCAGUCGAAGUGCAUGUUUGGGUCCAAGGACACAACUUAUCUUGUGUACCGUAUUUCUCGUGAGGGUUUGCAAGUUGAUCAUAACAAACUUGUGGCUGUUCUAAAGUUCCCUACUCCGAAGUGUGUGAAUGAUGUGCAGCGCUUUUUGGGCAAGGUGCAGUAUCUCGGUCAUUUUGUGGAUCAUCUUUUUGAUCGCACUGCACCGUUGCGAGCGUUGUGUAAGCCACAAAUUUUUCCUUUCUAAUUUGCCAGCUUACCUCGUUUAUCUGGCCAACUCUGCCUUGGCUUGUGCUAAGUUCCCUCGCCAAGGUUCUCGCCCAUGGUACCAGCUCCUACUUGGUUCUACUUGGUUUCAGCUACUCACUGCAUGAGCAACGGAGUGUUAGCCAUCCAUCUACAAAAUCCCAAAUCUCUCCCAAUCCCCCUCCCCGAGUUAGACUGGACUUAAGGUUCGGCUACACUCCCCGCAGGCACAAGCAACCAAGCACACCAAACCUCCAGAUUCCUAACACCCCUUGGUACCACAAGACUUGAUCAUGGGACCCUCUAAAUCCCAAGCCUUGGGUGCAACACUUGCUUCGGGACGUCGGGGCGAAACACCAUGGCCUAACGGCCCGGUAUGGGUACCUCUACGCCCCCACUUCUCUCCCAAAGGGAAGGCCCAAGCCCCUAGGAAGGGCGAGGACCAAUGAGCCACAAGGUACUCAAGUGGGGCACCACUCCACAUGAGCCGGGAGCACCUUAGUCGGUUUCCCUUUCGGGAGUGGGAGCUGCUCUUGAGCACUUCCCUGGGUGGCCCCUCCGGCACCACCCAAGCCCAUGCUCACUCCCACCCAAGGCCCCUCGGCCCCAAUCUCAACCUCAAGUCAGUUUGGAAGCACUACUGGAGAGUUCCUUCAAGAAUGGUUCCUAGACCUCACUAUCCCUACUAUACUUUUGGAACCCCCUGCAGCCCCCCCCCCUCCCCCCCUGGGAGAUGCACACUUUGGGCUUUCACCCCUUGAGCUAUAUUAGUAUUUGGACUUAGUCUCAGAAUCGAUCUCGGACUCGAUCUCGGACCCGACUUCGGACUCGGUCUCAGACUCAAUUUCAGACUCGAUCUCGGACCCGAUCUCGGACUCGACUUCGGACUCGACCUCGGACUCCGUCUUGGACCCGAUUUGGAUCUCAGACUUUGUCUCGAACUCGGUCUCGAACUCGGUCUCCGAUUCGGCCUCGGCUCGAUCCCGGACUCUAUCUCGAACUCGGUCUCUGAGUCGGUCUUGGACUCGAUCUUCAACUCGGUCCCAUCCAAUGAACUCUUUUUGUCAUUUCGGUCAUGCUUUCGGGGAUCUUUAGCCUACGAUAUCUCGGGGAGUCGGUUCCUUACACGUUGCUGAAGUCAUCAAUAUCAUCUUUCACAUGGUCUCCAGAUUAUGAGCAGAUGUUUAAGGAUCUCAAAGAGCUAUUAACGACUCCUCCGGUUUUGGCAUAUCCUGACUACACUUGACCUUUUAUUUUGCACAUGGAUGCUUCUGAUAUUGGUUUUGGAGAUGUGUUGAUGCAAGAGAGCUCGAGUGUGCUUGGUCAGCACCAUCCCAUUGCGUAUAUAAACCGUACAUUACAACUAGCCGAAAUGAACUACUCCACGACAAAGAAAGAGUGUUUAGCAGCAGUUUGGGGUUUCGAGAAACUUCAUGUAUAUCUACAUGGUUCUCGGAUGUUACUUGAAGGUGAUCAUGCUAUUGUUACUUCAUUAUUGAAGCGGAAGAACUUAGUUGGUUAUACUGCUCAAUGGGCUUUGAAGCUUUAGAUAUAUGAUUUUGAUGUUGUUCAUUGCCCAGGGAGUUCUUUGGCUGAUGCUAAUGCCCUUUCUCGAGCUCGUCUUCUUUCUCCAUUUUCUUUUCAUGUUUCUAAUGAGCUUGUUGUUCCAGCCUCUGUGGAUUUUCUAGACGAGGAUUCUGUGCCGUCGGCGGUUGUUGUACUUGACGUUCAGUGUCCACAAGGCGCCGAGCAAGAUCUACCUUCUCUUGAUGAGGUUCACGAGGCUCAAAAGAUUGAGCUGUGGAUUCGAAGGCUUUGAGAUGGGUUUGAGAAUGUUGCAUCACUUGUUGAUGACUUGCCUUUCCGGCAUUUACAUUCUCAAUAUCACCUCGAAGACGGCCUUAUUUAUUUUGUGGGGACGAAUCCUGACGAUCAUUUACAAUUGGUGGUGCCUUCUAUCUUUAUUCCGCGGUUUCUCCAUGCCUAUCAUGAUUCUCCUAUUCUAGAUGGGCAUAUGGGACAUCGUCGUAUAAUUGAGAAGUUGUGCAGGUUUUUCUAUUAGUUGGAGAUGCGACGUGAUAUUAUCUGGUAUGUGCGUCGCUACAUUUGAUGCCAAGCUUGUAAUACUCCCCUUCAGGCUGCGGAAGGACUGUUGGAGUCAAUUGCAAUUUCCCAUCCAUUUGAGUUGGUGGCAUUUGAUCUUAUGGGACCUUUUCCACGGUCGACUGUUGGCAAUGAGUAUGUUAUUAUUAUUUCUGACUACUUGACUUAAUUGGGUGGAAGUUGGUGCUCUUGCUAGCGCCUCUGCAACUUCUAUUGGAUACUUCCUCCUCAAUCGAGUGGUGUUUUAGCAUUCUUGUCCAAAGCAGAUUCUUUCAGAUAAUGGUCCUGCAUUUAUGGCUGAGGCAUUUCAUGUUUUGACGUCUCGGCUAGGGAUACGCCACACUUUCACGAGUGCUUAUCAUUCACAAUCAGAUGGUCUGGUGGAAUGGCUCAUUCAGACAUUCAAAGGAAUGAUUGCGAAGUAUGUGAACUUUCAGCAUUCUGAUUGGGAUGGUUAUUUGCAUCUCUUCGGUAUGCAUAUAUCACAGGGGUAUAGAGUUUUGUUGGUGCUUCACCAUAUAAACUUCUAUAUGGUCAUGAUCCAAUAUUACCAACGGAGCUGGGUUUACCUUCGCGAUUGCCACGAGCUGUGGAUGUUAAGUCGUGGGACUAGUAUUUGACGAGCAUUCUUCCAUUUGUCUGAGCAGAGUCUACUGAACACUUAGGCCAUGUAUAAGUGGGACAACAACGGUGCUAUAACUCCCAUCAUCGUCCACCUGCGGAGUACAAAGUGGAUGAUUUGGUGCUAGUCUGUUUUCCCCAUCUUAUAGUAUGUGGUUUAUCUAAGGGGCUCCUUGCGUAGUGGAAAGGACCGUAUUGAGUGUUGCGGCAAGUUGGACCACAAGUUUAUUAGGUUCGGCAUGACGUCCAGCAGAUCGAUCCUCAAGAGAUUGUGCAUGUGCAACGGUUGAAACGCUUCAUACAAAGGGAUCAGGAGCAGUUAAUACCACCUAUAAAUUUGUUAAUGCCUCCUCCUAACGUUCCUCCAAAUCUUGGCCUGUUUACAAGAGAACCCUGAUAGUUUUCUAUUAUUUCGAGAGGAGGGGAUGAUGUGAGGGCCAAGUGUACGGCUACGAUGCCGUAUAUUAAUAUUAGUAUAGUGGGAUUUUGGUAGCUAUCGGAUUGGUUUCAAUCUGGACCACUCGUUCCUGUAUAUAAGCUAGGGUUUUUAAGCUAAUUUAUAUGCACAUUUUUGUAUUCCCUUUCCAUAUUCCAAACACUCACAAAUUAAGAUUAGUUUAAAGUUGUUUUACAUUUAUUUCUCACACUACUAAUUUUGGGUUAAAAGCUUGAAAACUUCAAAAGGUUGAUUUAUUCCUUUAAAUACCGUACCAACUGAAUUUAUUUAUUCCUUUAAAUACCCUAAUCCAAUGUCGAAGGAGAGACUGGAUCAUGGCCUGGAGAAGGCGGUGAGUUUGUACAAAGAGUGCUCAGGCACAGGGAAGGGCCGUUUUCUAGUGGCAGACGAUGUGAUCUACUCUAGCUUUGAGAAAUGGAGUUCCAACAAUGAAGACUGCUGGAGGCUGGCCUUCCUCGAGGGAGAAGCGGGAUCCGGCGUUGGCAGUGUCUACAUAUUUGGCGAUCCCAGUAACGUCCACAACGAGACGAAGCAGUGGUUCUUCCACAAGCUAUGCCGGCAAGUGGAGAGGCACUUGAUGCUCACGAGCCCUGAGCUGGACAUCCGCUCCUUCGUCCGGGUCCUGGGAUCAUCGAGGUUUGCGCUUGGUAACGGGAGCAAGGAGCCAGGCGCCUCUUUCUCCACGGCCUCGCAGAAGCAUCCAUUCCCUCGAGUUGUCCUUGAAGUGGCCUACAAGAACGAGUCUUUUGAGGUACUCGUCAGGGAACUUAACCACUGGGUUCACUCGGGCUGUAAGCUCGCAAUCAGGAUACAAAUCUCGUAUGCCACCCUCAGCACUAGCAGCAGCAGCCUGCAACUGUUGUGGGUGCAGGAGGAAGCUGGCAAAGGUACACAGAUUAUAAAUUUUAGUCCUAGCGUUUGCACCUUGGAAACAAAGGAGGAUUUCUUGGUGUGGUUCCCGUUCAGCAUGCUUUCCAGCGAUGUUCCAGACUGCCAUGACAUCCCACUCACGUUUGAUCUGUAUCAGCUCCAGUCGACGAUCAAGGAGCUGGUGCAGGAAGAGUUUGAUAUGUAUCAGCUACAGUCGGUGAUCAAGGAGAUGGUAUAGGAAGAGUUGGAGCAACCUUGUGAAGAAUAUGUCCUGCUCCUUAAAUGAGGAACAUCUUCAGUGGUUCUUUCUCCCAACUUAAUCUUCAAGAUGAUUGAAGAUUAGAAUUAGUAAAAUCUCUUGAUUUAAAUUUUAUUAAGAAUUCAACGAAGAUAACGCUGCUCACAUUGAAACUCUAAAGAGCAAGAUCGAAAUUUCUGCUGUUGCUGCUGCUGCCGUGAGAGUGUCCAAAUCUUUUCUCGAGAUGCUACUGCCAGCGGUGCUGCUGGAGCUGGAGCUGCUGGAGCUUGACGAUGGUGGAGUGGCAACGCUAUCUGUGAGCGAUGCAUUUUGGACAUCGAUGGACAGCUUUUGGCCCCCUUGGCAGUGAUUUGGAAAGCCACAGAGGAAGUACCAUGAUCCGGGGGCCUAGUCAUUGCGAUCGAAGUGUCACCGUUGUUGAAAGACUGGAUCGGUGAGGCGCUGGAGCAUCGGUCCCAGUCAUCCUCGGACACUUCCAGAACGUCGUGCCGUUGGCUGUUGUACUUGAAACCUUGCAUGCAUAGAAGAUGCUCCCGUUAGAAAACUAUCGAGUAGGACAGGAAGAAAUCAAUCAACAAAGCAAAAAACAGAAAAGGAAAAAGAAAAGAAAAGAGAACGGGACACAAUAGUUUUUCCUUAACUAGUUUGUAAUUAAAUUUAAUGUUAAUAAUUAAAUACUUAGAACUGGCUAAUGAGAUUAUUCGAGAUUCUAGCAAAUUUAGUAAGAUUGCCUAUUUCAAGCUACCUUUAUUGGUCACAAAUAUAUUACUCCAUUGACUAAAUUAGAAGCUCUUCCGAGCAUUUCCAAACUGUGUUCACCGAUUGGAGACAAUCAUUCCACAGAAUUACGUCUUCACAGACACAUUCCCUUUUUAGCCGUCUUGAGCAAUAGAUCAUCAAGGUGGAGGCAAAUUAAAACAUGCAUUUUAAACCUAAUAAAUACCAUUGAUGGCAAUAGCUUCAAGUGGCCCACUAGAUUAAAGGAACAUACUUUAGAUACUACUUGCCACCAAAAGUCUAUGAAUUUGGGAGGAAUUUCGGGAGAAGACUGAGUGAGUGGGGGUGGGGCAUAUUUGCCGGGCGCUAAUGACCCUAUAAAUAUGUAUUAAUAACAAUAAUCAUUGUGUGAGUGCCUGGAAUAUGGAAAGGGAAUACAGAAAUGUGCAUCCCAAUUAGCCCAAAAACCCUAGCUUAUAUAUAGGAGCGAGUGGUCCGGAUUGAAACCAAUCCGACGGCUACCAAAAUCCACUACGCUAAUAUUAGUAUACGGCAUCAUAGCCGUACACUUGGCCCUCACAUCAUCCCCUCCUCUCAGAAUAAUGGAAGGCCAUCAGGGUUCUCUUGUAGACGGGCCAGGAUCUGGAGGAACGUCAGGAGGAGGCAUCGGCGGAUCUGUAGACGGUAUUAACUGCUCCUGAUCCCUUUGUAUGAAGCGUUUUAACCGCUGCACAUGCACAAUCUCCGGAGGAUCGGCCUACUGAAUGUCGUGCCGAACCUCAUAAACUUGCGGUCCAACUUGCCGCAACACCUGAUACGGUCCUUUCCACUGCGCAAGGAGCCCCUUAGAUAAACCAUGUACCGUAAGAUGGGGAAAACGGACUAACACCAAAUCAUCCACUUUGUACUCCGCAGAUGAACGAUGAUGGGAGUUGUAGCGCCGUUGUUGUCCCACUUGUACGUGGCCUAAGUGUUCAGCAGACUCUGCUCGGACAAGUGGAAGAAUGCUUGUCAAAUACUGAUCCCAUGACCUAGCAUCAGGAGCUUGUGGCAAUCGCGAAGGUAAACCCAGCUCUGUUGGUAAUAUUGGAUCAUGACCAUAUAGAAGUUUAUAUGGUGAAGCACCAACAAAACUCUGCACCCCUAUGACAUAGGCAUACCGAAGAGACGGCAAAUAACCAUCCCAAUCCGAAUGCUGAAAGUUCACAUACUUCGCAAUCAUCCCUUUGAAUGUCCGAACAAGCCGUUCCACCAGACUGUCUGAUUGUGGAUGAUAAGCACUCAUAAAAGUGUGGCGUAUCCCCAACCGAGAUGUCAAAACAUGAAAUACCUCAGCCAUAAAUGCAGGACCAUUAUCCGAAAGAAUCCGCUCUGGACAAGAAUGUUGGAACACCACUCGAUUGAGGAGGAAGUAUCCAACAGCAGUUGCAGAGGCGCUAGCAAGAGAACCAACUUCCACCCAACGAGUCAAGUAGUCAGAAGCAAUAAUAACAUACUCAUUGCCAGCAGUCGAUCGUGGAAAAGGUCCCAUAAGAUCAAAUGCCACCAACUCAAACGGACGGGAAAUUGCAAUUGACUCCAACCGUCCUUCCGUAGCACAAGGGGGAGUAUUACGAGCUUGGCACCAAACGCAGCUACGCACAUACCGGAUAAUAUCACGUCGCAUCUCCGGCCAAUAGAAAGACCUACGCAGCUUCUCGGUGAUACGACGGUGUCCCAUAUGCCCACCUAGAACAGGAGAAUCAUGGUAGGCAUGGAGAAACCGCGGAAUAAACACUGAAGGCACCACCAACCGUAAAUGAUCAUCAAGAUCUGUCCCCACAAAAUAAAUAAGGCCAUCUUUAAGGCGAUAUUGAGAAUGUAAAUGCCGGAAAGGCAAGUCAUCAGCAAGUGAUGCAGGAUUCUCAAACCCAUCUUGAAGCCUUCGAAUCCAUGGCUCAAUCUUUUGAGCUUCGCGAACCUCAUCAAGAGAAGGUAGAUCUUGCUCUACGCCCUGUGGACACUGAACGUCAAGGACAGCAACCGCCGACAGCACAGAAUCCUCAUCUAGAAAAUCCACAAACGCUGGAACAACAGGUUCGUCAGAAACAUGAGAAGUGAGUGGAGAAGGAAGAGGAGCUCGAGAAAGGGCAUCAGCAUCAGCCAUAGAACUCCCUGGGCGAUGAACAACAUCGAAAUUAUAUAUCUGAAGCUUCAAAGCCCAUCGAGCCGUACGACCAACCAGGUUCUUCCGCUUCAAUAAUGAAGUAACAGCAGCAUGGUCACCUUCAAGUAACGUCCGAGAACCAUGUAGAUAUGCAUGAAGUUUCUCGAAACCCCAGACUGCUGCUAAACACUCCUUCUCUGUCGUGGAGUAGUUCAUCUCCGCUGGUUGUAAUGUACGGCUUAUGUAUGCAAUGGGAUGGCGCUGACCAGGCACACUCAAGCUCUCUUGCAUCAACACACCUCCAAGACCAAUGUCAGAAGCAUCCACGCGCAAAAUAAAAGGUCGAGUGUAGUCAGGAUAUGCCAAAACCGGAGGAGUCGUCAAUAGCUCUUUGAGAUCCACGAACGCCCGCUCACAAUCCGGAGACCAGAUGAAAGAUGACGUUGAUGACUUCAGCAACGCUCGCAAUGGUGUAGUGCGAUCGGAAAGAUGAUCCACAAAACGACCGAGAUACUGCACCUUACCCAAAAAACGCUGCACAUCAUUCACACAUUUCGGAGUAGGGAACUUUAGAACAGCCACAAGUUUGUCAGGAUCAAUUUGCAAACCCUCACGAGAAAUACGGUACCCAAGAUAAGUUGUGUCCUUGGACCCAAAUACGCACUUUGACAGCUUCAGCUUUAAACCAACAUCACGUAGCCAAUCCAACACUUUACAAACAUCACGAACGUGCUCCUCCCACGUCCCCUCCGAGUGGAUCAAGACAUCAUCAAUGAAGUCAGCAGUCACUUCCGGCAUAUCGCAAAGAACCUCGUCCAUCAUCCGCUGGAAAGUUGCGGGAGCAUUGUUCAAACCAAACGGCAUCACCAAGAACUCAUAUAAACCAAAUGGUGUACGAAAAGCAGUCUUAGGAAUAUCUUCUUCGGCCAUUGGUACUUGCCAAUACCCAGAAGCAAGAUCUAGCUUGGUGAACCAACGACUUCGCCCCAGACGAUCUAAGAGAUCAGCAGUGUGAGGAAGAGGAUACACAUCUGGGAUCGUCACUUCGUUUAACGGGCGAUAGUCGAUGCAGAAACGAAUACUCCCAUCAGGCUUUGUCACAAGAUGAGGUUCACAUGCCCAAGGACUCCACGACUUCCGAAUAACACCCUUCUCCAGCAUUUCCUUGACGUUGGCUCAUAAAUCUUGAUCUCCUUAGGUGACUGACGACGAACAGGAACCUUGAUUGGACGAGCAUCCCCGGUUGGAAUCGGAUGACGUGUGGCAAUCUUGGCUCCAGACGAUAGGUCAAAUUCAAAGAGAUCAGAAUACUCCUUCAUGAGCCGGUCAACUGCUGCAACACAAAGAUCGUCGGAGGGAUCGGAAAAGGGAAAAGCAGAACAAGAUGGAAACACAGAAGGAAAGAGUGGGGGAACAAAAGUAAUGGAAGCAGAGGUAGAAGUAGAGGGAUGAAGAGGUAUGGAAGUGAGAGGAAUGGAUGAAACAUAAGGAAGUAUGAGACAAGGGGGAGAAGCCUCAAAGUCACACUUGGCAUGAUUGCGCUGCAACCAAUCCAUACCAAGAAUGAGGUCAAAAGCUUGACUCGGCACCACCCGCAACGACUGCAACUCAAGUUCGAGAUCGCCCACAUGCACAACUAGGUCCACCUCAUCCCGUGCACAUGCAUGUGUACGGCCGUUGCCAUAAAGAAUGAAAACUGGUUCCGCCGCACGACGCAAGUGUAGACGACAACGUGUGGUAACAGGUCGAGCAACAGAAGAUAAACUCGAACCUGUAUCAACCAACACGGAGAGAAUAAUAGGAGACCUCUUGUUAUAAAAACGAGCUUGGAAAGUAAACACGGGAUGAACCGGUGCCGAGUGAACCCCUUGAUGAUACUCCCGAAAGAAAGAUGGAGGGGUUACUGAUUUAUUCGCGCAAGGUCCCUCCAUUACUCGUGCGACUCCUCGUUUCUCGGAUGCAUCUCGGUGUCCAGACCUUCCACUGCAGCAGCACCCAUGGGACGUUGCUGACGCCAAGGUCUCCACCCAGGAAAUGGAGGUCGCCAAUCCGGAAAACAACGGCAACGCCGAUAAGUAUGACUAACUUCAUCACACGCCCAGCAGCGAACAUCACGGCCACGACUACGUCCUCGUGCUUGUCCUUGGACUCGAGCAGCAGCAGCAUCAACCUCCAUUGGAACAGGACCAUCACCCAUAGGAAGGGGAGCGGAAGGACGUGCAGCAAGAAGUGGAAGAGGCGACGUCUCAUAACGUUGUGCCAAGCGAAGAGCAUCAUCAAGGGUGGCAGGAGCAAGUGCAUGCACAAGUCCGACAAGAUCUUGACGAAGUGCUAGCCACAACAUUCCUAGCUUGAUCUGCUCCGACAUAUUUGGCUCCGCACGAAGCAAAAGACUUCGGAAACGAACGCUAAAUUGCAUCACCGACUCAGAUGGCCCUUGGCGAAGACGAUGCAAUUGUUGGAAAGCAUCAUCACAAUCAUCGGCAUGGCCGAAGGCGCGUUUGAAGACGUCCAGGAGAACACUCCAAUCCCCACGAGUGGCUGCGCUCAAACCAUUGUACCACUGCAACGCCGUCCCUUGGAGACAUGUGGGAAACUCACGCAAACGUCGAGCAUCAUCCCAAGAAUGAUAUGUGGCAAUCACCGUGAAGUGAUCGAACCAAUGGUACACAUCAUCCCCAGGAUUCCCGCGAAAGAACUCCGGCCGAACGCGAGGAUUGGCACCAAGAGUAGGAGGAGUUGGACCACAUGCCGUGAAUGCCGCCAUCAAUUGAGUUUGGUUGUUCAAUUGCAAGCGCAUAGCAUCAAGCAAUUGGACCAACUGCUGCUCGAGAGUCAAAGGAGGAGAGUACUGAUCUGCCAUGGAGAAUGAAAAAGAAAGAGCAAAAGAAAAUGACAAAAAGCUAGAAGGAAAUGGUAGAUCUAGACAAUGCAAAAAGCUAGAUCUAAACCAAAAUCCUGAAAAGAAAAAAAAGAAGGAAAUGGAAAAAGCUAGAUCUAGACAAUGCAAAAGUUAGAUCUAAACCAAAAUCCCAAAUCCAAGCACUCCUCAAGGGCAAUCAAACGUGCCCCUCACCUCCACCAAUGUGAAUGCUUGGAAUAUGGAAAGGGAAUACAGAAAUGUGCAUCCCAAUUAGCCCAAAAACCCUAGCUUAUAUACAGGAGCGAGUGGUCAGGAUUGAAACUAAUCCGACGGCUACCAAAAUCCACUACGCUAAUAUUAGUAUACAGCAUCAUAGCCGUACACUUGGCCCUCACAAUUGUAAUUUAUAAUAAUAUCCUUAACGAUUAAAAUUAUCUAAAUUAGAAUUCUUGCCCAAAUUGUUUACACCUUGGAGGCCAGCACAAGACCAGCAAUUCCAAAGGUGAGAGCAACGCUUCCUCCAUACUUUGUUCCAAACUCAGCAAUGUUGGUGAAGGAAUCGAUGGCAGCAUAGCCCUUUGCGUAGAUUUCCUUGCCCACGAUGUUGUAGAUGGCGCGAACUGGAGCAAGCACGGCCUGGUAUGCGUAUGGCAGGUACUCGGUUGCGCCGACAGCAUCAAAUAUGGAGUCCAAGAACCACUCGCUGUGAGUGGAUGCUAGAACAUUGUUCACCAUGAUGCUGCCGGAGAGAGUGAGCGGGUUGUAGAGGCCUACCUU
rnacentral:lncRNA from 1 species